GGGGAAUAUUGCACAAUGGGGGAAACCCUGAUGCAGCGACGCCGCGUGGAGGAAGAAGGUCUUCGGAUUGUAAACUCCUGUUGUUGGGGAAGAUAAUGACGGUACCCAACAAGGAAGUGACGGCUAACUACGUGCCAGCAGCCGCGGUAAAACGUAGGUCACAAGCGUUGUCCGGAAUUACUGGGUGUAAAGGGAGCGCAGGCGGGAAGACAAGUUGGAAGUGAAAUCUAUGGGCUCAACCCAUAAACUGCUUUCAAAACUGUUUUUCUUGAGUAGUGCAGAGGUAGGCGGAAUUCCCGGUGUAGCGGUGGAAUGCGUAGAUAUCGGGAGGAACACCAGUGGCGAAGGCGGCCUACUGGGCACCAACUGACGCUGAGGCUCGAAAGUGUGGGUAGCAAACAGGAUUAGAUACCCUGGUAGUCCACACCGUAAACGAUGAUUACUAGGUGUUGGAGGAUUGACCCCUUCAGUGCCGCAGUUAACACAAUAAGUAAUCCACCUGGGGAGUACGACCGCAAGGUUGAAACUCAAAGGAAUUGACGGGGGCCCGCACAAGCAGUGGAGUAUGUGGUUUAAUUCGACGCAACGCGAAGAACCUUACCAAGUCUUGACAUCCCUUGACAGACAUAGAAAUAUGUUUUCUCUUCGGAGCAAGGAGACAGGUGGUGCAUGGUUGUCGUCAGCUCGUGUCGUGAGAUGUUGGGUUAAGUCCCGCAACGAGCGCAACCCUUAUGGUCAGUUACUACGCAAGAGGACUCUGGCCAGACUGCCGUUGACAAAACGGAGGAAGGUGGGGAUGACGUCAAAUCAUCAUGCCCUUUAUGACUUGGGCUACACACGUACUACAAUGGCGUUAAACAAAGAGAAGCAAGACCGCGAGGUGGAGCAAAACUCAGAAACAACGUCCCAGUUCGGACUGCAGGCUGCAACUCGCCUGCACGAAGUCGGAAUUGCUAGUAAUCGUGGAUCAGCAUGCCACGGUGAAUACGUUCCCG
rnacentral:rRNA from 1 species